rnacentral:lncRNA from 1 species
UUGUGUGCCUCCUUCUUUUCUUUCCCCUUGAGCUGUCCGGGAUUCACAGCAAGUUAUAAAGCGAAGAGCCUCACCUGCCUCUGAGACCACCUCCUCUUGGCCCAGCUCAGUAGCUGGUCCUCAGCAACCUGAGCGGCUCACUUGGGAGGCUGCGUGGCUGAGCAGGAGAAGCACUUACAGUGGAAGCGAGGCCUGUGAUGCUGUCAACUUGCUUCUUAACCCUAGGUCAGUCAAUUACUUUCCCUGUGUUUCAAUUCUUUUUGCCACCUGUACGGUGGGAAUAAUACCUAUUUGUUCAAUUCCUAGGAUGCUGUGAGAAUUAAAUUACAUAGUAGCUGCCAAAUAAUUUGGCUUUCUUGGAGUUGGACACCACCUGAACCUGAGUGCAAUGAUUGUGCACUUCUUAAUGGCCUCCAUCUCUGGCCAAGCUGCCUUGGGACUAGAACAAUCAUCUAAGUCCCAGUUUCCAGCCUAAAACAGCACGAGGACAAGGCCAGGAGGCCACAGCAAGGCUGUAAUCAGAACCCACAAGGAUUGCAUGGAGAUGCUGCAGUGCCGCCACCACCCAACGGCCGGAGCCCCCAGCAAAGGGUUUUCCACAAAAUGGGAGAAAAGUAUAAGAAGCUCUUCCUUCUAUGGAGCCCCAAUACAAUGCUUCGUACCUAGAAGGCUCUCAGAAACAGAAAUCUGGUGAAUUAGUUAAAUUAUAUGCUUCUCUGCCCUCUGCACUCCGUAAGAAAAAAAGAAA